rnacentral:rRNA from 1 species
UACGGAGGGAGCUAGCGUUGUUCGGAAUUACUGGGCGUAAAGCGCACGUAGGCGGCUUUGUAAGUUAGAGGUGAAAGCCCGGGGCUCAACCCCGGAAUUGCCUUUAAGACUGCAUCGCUUGAAUCCGGGAGAGGUGAGUGGAAUUCCGAGUGUAGAGGUGAAAUUCGUAGAUAUCGGGAGGAACACCUGUGGCGAAAGCGGCGCACUGGACCAUAACUGACGCUGAGGCGCGAAAGCUAGGGGAGCAAACAGG